UUAAGCGACUAAGCGUACACGGUGGAUGCCCUGGCAGUCAGAGGCGAUGAAGGACGUGCUAAUCUGCGAAAAGCGUCGGUAAGGUGAUAUGAACCGUUAUAACCGGCGAUGUCCGAAUGGGGAAACCCAGUGCAAUUCGUUGCACUAUCGUUAACUGAAUACAUAGGUUAACGAGGCGAACCGGGGGAACUGAAACAUCUAAGUACCCCGAGGAAAAGAAAUCAACCGAGAUUCCCCCAGUAGCGGCGAGCGAACGGGGAGCAGCCCAGAGUCUGAAUCAGCUUGUGUGUUAGUGGAACGGUCUGGAAAGUCCGACGGUACAGGGUGAUAGUCCCGUACACCAAAAUGCACAGGCUGUGAACUCGAAGAGUAGGGCGGGACACGUGGUAUCCUGUCUGAAUAUGGGGGGACCAUCCUCCAAGGCUAAAUACUCCUGACUGACCGAUAGUGAACCAGUACCGUGAGGGAAAGGCGAAAAGAACCCCGGCGAGGGGAGUGAAAAAGAACCUGAAACCGUGUACGUACAAGCAGUGGGAGCACCUUCGGGUGUGACUGCGUACCUUUUGUAUAAUGGGUCAGCGACUUAUAUUCUGUAGCAAGGUUAACCGUAUAGGGGAGCCGCAGGGAAACCGAGUCUUAACUGGGCGUUAAGUUGCAGGGUAUAGACCCGAAACCCGGUGAUCUAGCCAUGGGCAGGUUGAAGGUUGGGUAACACUAACUGGAGGACCGAACCGACUAAUGUUGAAAAAUUAGCGGAUGACUUGUGGCUGGGGGUGAAAGGCCAAUCAAACCGGGAGAUAGCUGGUUCUCCCCGAAAGCUAUUUAGGUAGCGCCUCGUGAAUUCAUCUUCGGGGGUAGAGCACUGUUUCGGCUAGGGGGUCAUCCCGACUUACCAACCCGAUGCAAACUACGAAUACCGAAGAAUGUUAUCACGGGAGACACACGGCGGGUGCUAACGUCCGUCGUGAAGAGGGAAACAACCCAGACCGCCAGCUAAGGUCCCAAAGUCAUGGUUAAGUGGGAAACGAUGUGGGAAGGCACAGACAGCCAGGAUGUUGGCUUAGAAGCAGCCAUCAUUUAAAGAAAGCGUAAUAGCUCACUGGUCGAGUCGGCCUGCGCGGAAGAUGUAACGGGGCUAAACCAUGCACCGAAGCUGCGGCAGCGACACUAUGUGUUGUUGGGUAGGGGAGCGUUCUGUAAGCCUGCGAAGGUGUGCUGUGAGGCAUGCUGGAGGUAUCAGAAGUGCGAAUGCUGACAUAAGUAACGAUAAAGCGGGUGAAAAGCCCGCUCGCCGGAAGACCAAGGGUUCCUGUCCAACGUUAAUCGGGGCAGGGUGAGUCGACCCCUAAGGCGAGGCCGAAAGGCGUAGUCGAUGGGAAACAGGUUAAUAUUCCUGUACUUGGUGUUACUGCGAAGGGGGGACGGAGAAGGCUAUGUUAGCCGGGCGACGGUUGUCCCGGUUUAAGCAUGUAGGCUGGUUGUCCAGGCAAAUCCGGAUAAUCAAGGCUGAGGUGUGAUGACGAGGCACUACGGUGCUGAAGUAACAAAUGCCCUGCUUCCAGGAAAAGCCUCUAAGCAUCAGGUAACAUUAAAUCGUACCCCAAACCGACACAGGUGGUCAGGUAGAGAAUACCAAGGCGCUUGAGAGAACUCGGGUGAAGGAACUAGGCAAAAUGGUGCCGUAACUUCGGGAGAAGGCACGCUGGUGUGUAGGUGAAGCCCCUGCGGGUGGAGCUGAGACCAGUCGAAGAUACCAGCUGGCUGCAACUGUUUAUUAAAAACACAGCACUGUGCAAACACGAAAGUGGACGUAUACGGUGUGACGCCUGCCCGGUGCCGGAAGGUUAAUUGAUGGGGUUAUCCGUAAGGAGAAGCUCUUGAUCGAAGCCCCGGUAAACGGCGGCCGUAACUAUAACGGUCCUAAGGUAGCGAAAUUCCUUGUCGGGUAAGUUCCGACCUGCACGAAUGGCGUAAUGAUGGCCAGGCUGUCUCCACCCGAGACUCAGUGAAAUUGAACUCGCUGUGAAGAUGCAGUGUACCCGCGGCAAGACGGAAAGACCCCGUGAACCUUUACUAUAGCUUGACACUGAACAUUGAGCCUUGAUGUGUAGGAUAGGUGGGAGGCUUUGAAGCGUGGACGCCAGUCUGCGUGGAGCCAACCUUGAAAUACCACCCUUUAAUGUUUGAUGUUCUAACGUUGGCCCCUGACCGGGGUUGCGGACAGUGUCUGGUGGGUAGUUUGACUGGGGCGGUCUCCUCCCAAAGCGUAACGGAGGAGCACGAAGGUUAGCUAAUCCUGGUCGGACAUCAGGAGGUUAGUGCAAUGGCAUAAGCUAGCUUGACUGCGAGCGUGACGGCGCGAGCAGGUGCGAAAGCAGGUCAUAGUGAUCCGGUGGUUCUGAAUGGAAGGGCCAUCGCUCAACGGAUAAAAGGUACUCCGGGGAUAACAGGCUGAUACCGCCCAAGAGUUCAUAUCGACGGCGGUGUUUGGCACCUCGAUGUCGGCUCAUCACAUCCUGGGGCUGAAGUAGGUCCCAAGGGUAUGGCUGUUCGCCAUUUAAAGUGGUACGCGAGCUGGGUUUAGAACGUCGUGAGACAGUUCGGUCCCUAUCUGCCGUGGGCGCUGGAGAAUUGAGGGGGGCUGCUCCUAGUACGAGAGGACCGGAGUGGACGCAUCACUGGUGUUCGGGUUGUCAUGCCAAUGGCACUGCCCGGUAGCUAAAUGCGGAAGAGAUAAGUGCUGAAAGCAUCUAAGCACGAAACUUGCCCCGAGAUGAGUUCUCCCUGAGACUUUAAGUCUCCUGAAGGAACGUUAAAGACGAUGACGUUGAUAGGCCGGGUGUGUAAGCGCAGCGAUGCGUUGAGCUAACCGGUACUAAUGAACCGUGAGGCUUAACCUU
rnacentral:rRNA from 2 species